UACGUGAGUGGCAAGCGUUGUCCGGAUUUACUGGGCGUAAAGAGCGCGCAGGCGGUCUGUCAAGUCGCGUGUGAAAGCCCCCGGCUCAACUGGGGAGGUCACGCGAUACUGGUCGACUCGAAGGCAGGAGAGGGUAGUGGAAUUCCCGGUGUAGUGGUGAAAUGCGUAGAUAUCGGGAAGGAACACCAGUGGCGAAGGCGACUACCUGGCCUGUUCUUGACGCUGAGGCGCGAAAGCUAGGGGAGCAAACGGGG
rnacentral:rRNA from 1 species